UGGUUCUGGCAUCGAUGAAGAACGCAGCGAAAUGCGAUAAGUAAUGUGAAUUGCAGAAUUCAGUGAAUCAUCGAAUCUUUGAACGCACAUUGCGCCCGCUAGUAUUCUGGCGGGCAUGCCUGUUCGAGCGUCCUCUUAAACCCUCGAGCCCUGGAGAUUUAUUCUCCGGCGGCCCGGUGUUGGGGAACCGCGGCUGCCGCGGCCCCCUAAAAUCAGUGGCGGACCCUUCCGUGGCCCUGGCGUAGUAAUAUUUUAACCUCGUCUUUCGGCUGCUGCAGGGCCUUGCCCCAAGCUCCAACACAAGAAACUGGACCUCGAAUCAGGUAGGAAUACCCGCUGA
rnacentral:misc_RNA from 1 species